AUAUGGCUCAGUGGUAGAGCAUCUGUUCAGCAGGCAGAAGGUUCCAGGUUCAAUCCCUGGCAUCUCUA
rnacentral:tRNA from 1 species